GAUGAACGCUGGCGGCGUGCCUAACACAUGCAAGUCGAGCGAGAUGUUUAUGAAAGAUUCUUCGGAUGAUUGAUUAAACGGAAAGCGGCGGACGGGUGAGUAACGCGUAGGCAACCUGCCCUUCACAGAGGGAUAGCCUCGGGAAACCGGGAUUAAAACCUCAUAAUGCCACUGAAAGACAUCUUCCGGUGGCCAAAGAUUUAUCGGUGAAGGAUGGGCCUGCGUCUGAUUAGUUAGUUGGUGGGGUAACGGCCUACCAAGGCGACGAUCAGUAGCCGACCUGAGAGGGUGAUCGGCCACAUUGGAACUGAGACACGGUCCAA
rnacentral:rRNA from 1 species